CCUACGGGAGGCAGCAGUGGGGAAUCUUGCGCAAUGGGCGAAAGCCUGACGCGGCCAUGCCGCGUGAAUGAUGAAGGUCUUAGGAUUGUAAAAUUCUUUCACCGGGGACGAUAAUGACGGUACCCGGAGAAGAAGCCCCGGCUAACUUCGUGCCAGCAGCCGCGGUAAUACGAAGGGGGCUAGCGUUGCUCGGAAUUACUGGGCGUAAAGGGAGCGUAGGCGGAUAGUUUAGUCAGAGGUGAAAGCCCAGGGCUCAACCUUGGAAUUGCCUUUGAUACUGGCUAUCUUGAGUGUGGGAGAGGUAUGUGGAACUCCGAGUGUAGAGGUGAAAUUCGUAGAUAUUCGGAAGAACACCAGUGGCGAAGGCGACAUACUGGCCCAUUACUGACGCUGAGGCUCGAAAGCGUGGGGAGCAAACAGGAUUAGAUACCCUGGUAGUCCACGCUGUAAACGAUGAGUGCUAGUUGUCGGCGAGCAUGCUGUCGGUGACGCAGCUACGACAUAAGACACUCCGCCGUCGGGAGGUACGGUCGCGAGAAUAAACUAACGAAAGAAGUAGACGGCGUGAGACGUCGCCGACGGACGACGACGAGGGAGGUUAGG
rnacentral:rRNA from 1 species